AACAAACGCUGGCGGCGCGUUUUAAGCAUGCAAGUCGGACGGCAAGAGCUGUAGCAAUAUGGCUCCUAGAGUGGCGAACGGGUUAGUAACACGUAGGUGAUCUGCCCUUGGAUGGGGGAUAGUCCGUGGAAACACGGGGUAAUACCGCAUGAGGCCUUGUGGGUAGAGCCAUGAGGUGAAAGGUGCAAUUGCACCGUCUGGGGAUAAGCCUGCGGUCCAUUAGGUAGUUGGCGGGGUAAGGGCCCACCAAGCCUGCGAUGGAUAGCCGGCCUGAGAGGGUGUACGGCCACACUGGAACUGAGACACGGGCCAGACUCCUACGGGAGGCAGCAGCUAAGAAUCUUCCGCAAUGGGGGAAACCCUGACGGAGCGACGCCGCGUGGACGAUGGAGGCCGUAAGGUUGUAAAGUCCUUUUCCUGGUGAAGAAUGACCGUGGGAGUGGAAAGCCCAUGGGGUGACGUUAGCCAGGGAAUAAGCCCCGGCCAAUUACGUGCCAGCCGCCGCAGUAACAC
rnacentral:rRNA from 1 species